UACAGAGGGUGCAAGCGUUAAUCGGAAUUACUGGGCGUAAAGCGUGCGUAGGUGGUUUUUUAAGUCAGGUGUGAAAUCCCCGGGCUCAACCUGGGAACUGCAUUUGAUACUGAAAAGCUAGAGUGUGGUAGAGGAUAGUGGAAUUCCCGGUGUAGCGGUGAAAUGCGUAGAUAUCGGGAGGAACAUCAGUGGCGAAGGCGGCUAUCUGGACCAACACUGACACUGAGGCACGAAAGCGUGGGUAGCAAACAGG
rnacentral:rRNA from 1 species